CCAACGACAGCGUCGUCUUUUCGUCGGAAGACUUCGAUCGAUACGGAAGCAAGAAAAGAAGACUCCUCUCCUUCGCCUCUCCUUCUGUUCUUUCGAUCCCCAAUCCCUCGUUCUCGUCUGCUCCUUCUCCUCUCUCCCUCGAAUUCGAAUUCGAAGGCCAGACCAUUCCCUCGAUCGCUUUUCUCAUGGCCACCAUUGGCAACAACAACAUCAAUGCCAAGCUCGUACUGCUUGGAGAUAUGGGUGCCGGCAAGUCGAGUCUCGUUCUCCGAUUCGUCAAGGGGCAAUUCUUCGAAUUCCAGGAGUCGACGAUUGGGGCCGCGUUCUUCGCCCAGACGCUGGCGUUGAAUGAUGCCACGGUGAAGUUCGAGAUUUGGGACACGGCAGGGCAGGAGAGGUAUCAUAGCUUGGCUCCCAUGUACUACAGGGGUGCCGCUGCGGCCAUCAUCGUGUAUGACAUAACCAGCACCGAGUCUUUUGAGCGAGCUAAGAAGUGGGUGCAGGAGCUACAGAAACAAGGUAAUCCAAACAUGGUGACAGCUCUAGCAGGCAAUAAAGCUGAUUUGGAAGAUAAGAGGAGGGUAACAACUGAGGAAGCACGGACAUAUGCUGAGGAGAAUGGCCUCUUCUUUAUGGAAACCUCUGCUAAAACUGCGAUAAAUGUGAAUGACAUAUUCUAUGAAAUUGCAAGACGGUUACCCUGUGCUCAACCGGCUCAGAAUCCAACAGGAAUGGUUCUUACAGACAGACCUGCUGAGCGCUUGCAGAUUUCAUCAUGCUGUGCUUAGGAUAUCUUGGUUGAAAUGAGUGCGACUUAACUAGCACUGGAUGAUUCAGUUAUCUUAAACAUAUUCAGCUGUCCCUUAUCUGAACACUUGUUAAAGUUGAAAAACUUGGGGGCUUCUGGAAGUGCAACACAGUGAAGUCAAUGAGUUGAAGAUAUAGAACCGUUCAGAUUGUCCUGCCACCUGUAUUUGGGGAGGCUGUCGUUCCUGUUUCAUAUUUCUCCUGUUUCUAAAUCUUGUAAACAAAAAAUAUCAUGUGACCUUCACCCAAGCUUCAGAGCAAGAUGCGGUAGUUUCUUUGAACAAGCAUUCUUUAACCUAUGUUAGCUUUCUGUGAUACGUGCUUGGAGAAAUAAAUGGAUAUGCU